UUACUCUGCCUGCGAUAUAUAUUUUUUAUCCCGUGUUUAUUUUCUUCAGUAAAGUUGUGAACUUAAACCAAACCUCUGCAUUGGCAAAAUAAGCACAUUUAUGCACCGUUUCUUCAUUGGUGGCUGGGCACCGCGGCUGCAUCCUCUUCUUCGUGGCAUGGCACAGUAAUUGCAGGUUCAUCAGUCAGGUGGUCAGCACCCAAACUAAAACCAUGAGUCAUGGUGGCCAGGAUGACGUCCAAGAAUAGCAUCCCAGCAGCACAGAUGGGGGAGCCAACAUGAAGAGGUGUCCAGAGAGGCUUCUUCCUCUUUGGCUUUGCAGCAGCACCAGGACCUCACCAUCAGUGAUGCUGUUCCCCUCAUCCAUCGGGCCUACCCUUACAUUCCUCCCCUGAUGCACUGAUCACCUGUACCAGUUGUUGGAGUUUUCAGAAGGGCUCUAAAUUAACUUUUUUUAUUCACUAGUAGCCAAAAUGGCUAGUAUGUUAAUCUCCAAACAUACCGGUAUAUGGGUCAAAGUGCCAAGUAUGUUUUCUUUUCUACCAGCAAAACUUAAUUUUCCCAGCAUUUGGCUGGUUGGCUGGUGAGCCCUGGUUGUCAUUGAUGGUGAGUAGCUGUGAUAAUAAAUAACUGAAAUGAUGAAGUCCA